AUCAGAGAAUAAAAAAAAUUAAUACCAAAUUUAAAGCAUAGUCAGAGCUUUCUUUAAAAGAUCUCUAGCUUCUUCCAAUUGACAGGUCAAUUGCGUUGAAGAAAUCUCACGCGCAGAAUAAGAUCGAUUUGCCAAUAUUAUUAUAGUGGGCGUCAUGUCUCCAGAUUACUUCCUUCAAGUUAGCGAUAGUCGAUCCGUAACUGGUAUCAGCAAGCAGGCAUCAGUAAUACGAACCGUCUUCCUUAGGCACUCACGCGACACGCUGUAUUAUUAGACACCGCAUGGCAUCGCGCGCAAUCUGUAAUAUGGAAUUGGCUAUUAGUAACAAGAAAUCUCAAGAAGUAUAGCGUUUAUUAAUAUAAGAUAUUCGCCGCUUCUAUCAUUUUGGACUUUAAUCUGGUUUCGUCAAUGACACCGGCAUUCCACUGACCUUUAGCCAAGAAUAGUAACGAAACACAUUUAAGAAGCACAUACCUCUUACACGACUGUACCCCGGCUCCACAACGUCCAAUACUUGAAGCAAUAAACGGCA